rnacentral:rRNA from 1 species
CCCUUAGAUGUUCUGGGCUGCACGCGCGCUACACUGAAGCGUUCAACGAGUAUUCACCUUGCCCGGGAGGGUUGGGUAAUCUUUUGAAAACGCUUCGUGAUGGGGAUAGAUUAUUGCAAUUAUUAAUCUUCAACGAGGAAUUCCUAGUAAGCGCGAGUCAUCAGCUCGUGCUGAUUACGUCCCUGCCCUUUGUACACACCGCCCGUCGCUCCUACCGAUUGAGUCAUCCGGUGAAUAAUUCGGACUGCAGCACUGCUUGGUCUCCAGGCUUUGCAGCGGAAAGUUUAGUGAACCUUAUCACUUAGAGGAAGGAGAAGUCGUAACA